GACGAACGCUGGCGGCGUGCCUAAUACAUGCAAGUCGAGCGGACGAUUCGAAAGCUUGCUUUUGAAUCGUUAGCGGCGGACGGGUGAGUAACACGUGGCAACCUGCCCUGUAGACGGGGAUAACACCGAGAAAUUGGUGCUAAUACCGGAUAACACGAAAUGUCGCAUGACGUUUCGUUGAAAGGCAGCGCAAGCUGCCGCUAACGGAUGGGCCCGCGGCGCAUUAGCUAGUUGGUGAGGUAACGGCUCACCAAGGCGACGAUGCGUAGCCGACCUGAGAGGGUGAUCGGCCACACUGGGACUGAGACACGGCCCAGACUCCUACGGGAGGCAGCAGUAGGGAAUCUUCCGCAAUGGACGAAAGUCUGACGGAGCAACGCCGCGUGAGCGAAGAAGGCCUUCGGGUCGUAAAGCUCUGUUGUUAGGGAAGAACAAGUAACGUAGUAACUGACGUUACUAUGACGGUACCUAACGAGAAAGCCACGGCUAACUACGUG
rnacentral:rRNA from 1 species